rnacentral:misc_RNA from 1 species
AACAAAAGUCAAUUGUAGCAAGUUUCAGAAGGUAUGUUUGCUACUACCUAUCCAAUCCCACAUUGCACAUACGAGAUCGAAAAUGCCUUCGUGCAUGCUCUUUCCUAGUGAAAGAUUUAGUACAGCCUUGAAAAUCGCAUUUGUAACGAAUAUCUCCUUCUUGGUAUGCACGACUUUUUUUCGCCUUGGUCAUGAAGAAACGCAAGUAACCUCACUUUACAGAAAAAUAGUGAUUAAACAGAUUCAACGCAAUGAUAGCUAACACCUAUAUUCAAAAUUCGUGACAAUACAUUCAGAAAGAGAAAUAAGAAAGAAGAAAAAUCUACUUAAUUUCCCUAGUCGCUCAAGGUCGUAGUUGUAAAAGACAUUUAAAUUAGAGGCGUACGACUCCGGAUCCGCGGCGGGCAAUUCUUCUUAUCGAAAUAAACCUUCUGGCUAUUAUACAGGGACUUGUUACCUUAUAUCUAUACUAAGAACCCAAGUAAUGUCAGAGCCCUCGUCUUAAGCACAAAAUUUUCAUCUAAUUUUCAAAUAAAUACUAUGUAUUUGAGUGACUAAUUGUAUUGGUCAUCUGGCUUGCAGUUGAUAUUUGAAUAAUAGUUAAGCUAGCACUACGCAAGAUCUAUAAACGCAACAUUAAAUUUCCAAUUGCUAAGUUUUAUAUGUAGAUUUAUAUUUUCUAUCAACCCGCCUGUUAAACACUGGUAUUUAUUUCUAUCUUCCCUGUAAAUCACAACACUUUUCUGUGUGAUCUUGUUAAUUCAAUGCCCUUUAAGAUAAGCAUGAGCUAAUUUAAUCGAUUCUGAUGCAGAUCGGUGAAUUGUUGUAAUAUUGAAUACAUCAAUUCCUGUUCAUCGCUAUGUUUUAACCCCCGCUUUAUCUCGUGAUUUAGUGAUACGUUAUAGCUCGAUAAUAGCUUGCGUAGAGGGGGUUCUGGCUCAAACUACAGCUAAGCUAUCUAUCUAAUCUCGCAACUCUUAGUCGCUAAUCGGCAAUGUAUAUUGAGGUGGAUAACGGGGGUACCGGACUUAUAGCAUUUUGGUACGGGUUUGUAUCAAU